rnacentral:lncRNA from 1 species
GUGACCCAAAGAAGCUUGAGGAACUUGGAAGUGUGCUCACAAGCUUAGAUCCAGGGGACUCCAUUGUCAUCGCAAAAGCUUUCUCUCACAUGCUUAACUUAGCAAAUCUGGCAGAAGAGGUCCAGAUUGCUUACAGACGCAGGAUCAAGCUGAAGAAGGGUGACUUUGCUGAUGAAGCUAAUGCAACAACUGAAUCCGACAUUGAAGAAACUUUCAAGAGACUUGUGCAUCAGCUUAAGAAGUCACCUGAAGAGGUUUUUGACGCACUCAAGAAUCAAACAGUUGACUUGGUCUUGACUGCUCAUCCCACUCAAUCAGUCCGCAGAUCUUUGCUUCAGAAGCAUGGAAGG